UUUCCUACAAAAUACAGAUUGUUAUUGACGAACAAAUGUGAAUAAUAAUUGUUAAUAAAAUGUAACUAUUUGAUUGACGAACAAAUGUGAAUAAUAAUUGUUAAUAAAAUGUAACUAUUUGAUUGACGAACAAAUGUGAAUAAAAUGUAACUAUUUGAUUA